UAAUAUCAACUCUGAUGGUUUUUGUUAACCAUUGGAUGUUGGACUUGGAGGUUCGUGCUGGCUGCAAAGUCGGCUCCUCUUGAAUGCAUUAGCUUGGACCUGUGCGCGUUUGCUAGCGGUGUAAUACAUUUUAUUCACCACGGGCCGUGUCACUAUUAGGGUCUGCUUCUAAUCGUCCUUACCGGACAAUAAUAAACUUUAUGA
rnacentral:misc_RNA from 1 species